CUGUGUCACGGGUGUCUGGGUAUUGGGCCCGAAGCUGCUCUGCCCUGCUGCACAGCCUGGUGUAGGUAUCAUAGGACGAGUCCUGGGGCCUGGGGAGUUGUAAUGCAGGGUGUAGCUGGACUCUAGAUGGCAUUUGUCGAUUGACACAAGAUGUCUGGAAGGCCUAAGUUAUCCUGCAGCCCUCUGACCCCUGUCCUCCCAUUCUUUCAGGUGCUGGCAGAUGAAAUCCGUGGCGGAGCGCCCCGUGGCGGGUGAGUGGUUCCCCUGAGCAGGACAUAAAGCCGAACCUGAGGAGUCAAGGCGGUCCACGGGUAUCACGCCGAGACCCCGUCAGCGAGUGGCCGACAGACCCGGUUCGUCGCUCUCGUGGGAACUCGCUAAGCGGUACGGGGCUCUGUGAUGGUGCCGUG